AAAGAGUGUCGGGGACGGGAGCGGAGAGACACGGAAAAGGUCAAACUAAAGGCGAGGAGGAGAGGCGGCUGGAGUGGCGGGGGGCCCGGAGCGGGGCUCGAGCCGGCCGCCCCACGGCACUCGGGGCGUCCCCCGGCCAGACGGGCCGGGCCCGGCCCAGCCCCGCUCGCGGGAGGAGCCGGAGCCCCCAUCCCGUCACAGGGCAUCCCGUGUGCUGAAUCACAUUCCUUCCAGCUCCCUCUGGUUGUCAGUGGACAAGCCCAGCUUGACAUUAUUCCAUAUCUUACAUCGACUUCCAUCAGCAACACAACAAAGUACUCCUGCCCAUACUGUCAGCCUGCUAACGUUAGUGGACCAUCCAGAUAUCUAGAAUCAUGCAGGAAAAGCUUAUGACUACUGGAAUCUUUUUCUGGUUAAACAUUUCAGUAACAUUCUUGGAACCUGCUAGUGUCCCCAUGCUCAAUAAUUUGCCUCAAGUUGGAGUUAUGUUGAUCACAAUCAUCAAAAAUAAACAGCUGUGCUUUCUCUGCCUACAUGAGCUUUCAGCAAAUGAGGUGAAGUAUGAGGUUGUAAUUGGUGGAGCAAUAAAUCAGUAGGGAUGCCAUGCAAUGCCAUUUUAUAAACUAUCUAUUUUUUCUUUUGAAGGUGAUUCCCAUUGUUGUGUACUAUUAUACAGUAUAAUACCGUAUUGUAGUCUGUUGUUGUAAACAUCCCCGACUGGAAGCUGUAAGAGAAAUUCUAGCUUUCAGUCAGAUGUUUGCUGCAUCCGGCUAUUCAUGGACAACAUCAGAAGGAAAAGAUUAGUUAUAAAUAUAUGUAAUGUUAAAACUAAUUUAUAUAUGAUUGUGACUUUUGUCAGAAUACAUGGAGGAAAGAGCAUAAAUCCUAGAAACAGUCUGUAUUUUUAAUUUUUUUUAAAGUGGCGUUUACUAUAAAGAAUAAAAGUGACAUUUAUAUUUUGAAAAAUGUAGAA
rnacentral:lncRNA from 1 species